rnacentral:rRNA from 1 species
GGAAGUAAAAGUCGUAACAAGGUUUCCGUAGGUGAACCUGCGGAAGGAUCAUUACUGAUUUAGCGAACCGAGCGUUAGCGAGGUUUUGUGAUCACUUAUAUUUAAAACCCACUCUUUAAUGUAUAAAAUUUGUAUUAAUGAUAAAUUAAAAGAUCACUUUCAACAACGGAUCUCUUGGCUCUCGCAUCGAUGAAGAACGUAGCGAAGUGCGAUAAGUAAUGUGAAUUGCAGUAUUCCGUGAAUCAUCGAAUCUUUGAACGCAUAUUGCACUUUCUGGUAUUCCGGAAAGUAUGCCUGUUUGAGGGUCAGUUAAAUAAAAAUCGGUGUUGUUGCCGCUUUUCGUGGUGACGCGUCGGAAUUGAGUUGUCUUACCUUCGGUUAAGUGACUUAAAAUUUUAUAUGAUUUUCGAACGUAUUUAAAUUUAUUUGAACGUUUGAUAUCGAAUGCUUAUUAGGUUCGGUCAUCCUCAUGACUCGCGCCUAUAAUUUUUCAUUAAAUGACCUCAAAUCAGGUAAGAAUACCCGCUGAACUUAAGCAUAUCAAUAAGCGGAGGA